UACGUAGGCAGCGAGCGUUGUUCGGAGUUACUGGGCGUAAAGAGUGCGUAGGCGGUUUUCUAAGUUUGGUGUGAAAUCUCCCGGCUUAACUGGGAGGGUGCGCCGAAGACUGGAAGGCUUGAGUAUGGGAGAGGUAAGCGGAAUUCCUGGUGUAGCGGUGAAAUGCGUAGAUAUCAGGAGGAACACCGGCGGUGUAGACGGCUUACUGGACCAUAACUGACGCUGAGGCACGAAAGCGUGGGUAGCAAACAGG
rnacentral:rRNA from 1 species